GUUAGUAGGCCUGCCUUGCCCCCUAGGUUAGUAGGCCUGCCUUGCCCCCUAGGUUAGUAGGCCUGCCUUGCCCCCUAGGUUAGUAGGCCUACCUUGCCCCCAAGGUUGUUAGGGCUCUCAAAUGCAAAAUGCAUCACUACUGAGGUGUUGGGAAAAUGCAUUAAGUACAGAUAUGUUUUCCUACAAAGGUAAUAGUAUGUGUGUGUGUCUUCAGAGAGGGCACCGCCUCAGAGCCCUUAAGUGCCUGUAGGAUACAUGGGCACGUCAACAAAGUGGCUGGGAACUUCCACAUCACAGUGGGAAAGCCUAUUCAUCAUCCUCGUGGCCAUGCUCAUACAGCAGCUUUUGUAAGCCAUGACAAAUCAUUCACUCCCAAAUAGAGGUUUUCACUGUCGCAAUCCACCUGUCUGCAUGUGAGCUGGGUUUCAUCAAUGCAUUGCAGCGUGCAACUUCUCCCAUCGGAUAGACCAUCUGUCUUUCGGAGAAGAGGUCCCCGGCAUCAUCAAUCCUCUGGACGGGACAGAGAAAAUCACCAGCAAC